UUAGAGGAUGGGAAAUAUUACCGCGAUCUUAACGAACCUUGUUAAGGUUGGAAGACGGGGCGAAAGUAAAUGGGACAGCCUAAAAGACACGGUGGAAUCGAGGGCUCCUCACUGAGACAGUUUAGACAUGAUUUGCACGUAGUUUCACUUCAUUCUGCCGGUAUGAGCAUUAAUAGGGCUGGGGAAUAAAGGAAAAAUGAGAUCAUUAGACCCAUAUACAUGUCAUGACUGUGUUUGUAUAAGGAGAUUUUUUAAUCUGCCUUCAGCACUGCGCUUUCUCCGUGACCAUAACUCUUGUUAAUUAAUAGCAUAAUUGCCAAUCCGAAGCCCAUUUGAAGUGUAGCGUGCAGUAAUAACACUGUACAUCGUCAUGGCACUGGCUGUGCAUCAUUGCAGCUUGAGUUAAAGACUUCGCACAGAUAGGGCUAUUUGGGGAUCCAUGGACCGGACGUGGAUAGACUGCAGGUAUACGGGAAGCUUCAGAAAUUUCACUCACCACAGAUGAGCACCUUUAAAAAGAGGACUCCUAGUAAAUUCUAUCCUACAGUCUUACGGGCAGUCAUCAAUGUAUCUGAACAGAAAUCAGUUUGAAUGAUUUUGUAAAUGAAGAAUGACUGCCAGCUUUUGAAGUAUUCCAAAGUGCAUACUGAUGGACAUUAUAGCAUUCCACAUUUUGCUGUUCAAUUUGGGCUGAUCAGUCCAUAAUUUUUGCUCCGUGAAUAGAUCAACGAUCUGCAUUUGCCUUUUGGGAAAUCUCAUCGUCGAUGUCAGAUAUGACACAAGCUGAGCAAGGGCUAACCCAUUACUGAUAUUGUUGAUAAAGCUUCAUGACAAUUGAAUCUUAUUUUUAAAAAGUUAUACUGACUUUUUUGUCAUCAAACAGAAGAAUCUAUUCUUUAUGACGGUUGAACUACGCAACAAAAUGAUAUACUAGAAGAAUAAUGAGUAAGUUUUGCUAUUGAAAGUGUAAAAUUAAGUCGUCAUCGAUAAGCAAAAAGCAAUGCCACUCACUCACCAAAUUGACAAGUUCAGCUAUUUCUUAUCGUUUUUCUCAUAAUAACGCAACGACAUGAUUUUUUAAAAAAAGAUUAUAUCGUGUUUCCUUCUGCUGCGGGCAGUGCAGGAAGUAUGUUUCCUACUAAGCUAAUGCUAAACGUCUCGAUGGCAUAAUACUGGUUUAAAUUGAAAGACUGUGUCUCAAGGAUGUUUUAACCAACUCCGAUGCAGUUUGGGUUGCUUAAAUGCAAUCUUCUCUGUAACAGUUUUUUUGUUUAGCAUAACCUUGCUUGUAUUAAAAGUGUUAUCAUUUUAAUUGAUGGAAGACACACAAACACGCAGCGUCCCCUGAUCGAGAUCGCUAUAUUUGAAGGUCAGAUGCACACCUUGUGGCUAACGUCUAUAACUGGAUUUUGAUAUUUCGGAAGAUAUAUUUUCCUCGAUUAAUUUACAGGAUAAUAGCAUAAAUACAGCAUUCACUGAACAUGUUAUUUACGUUUGAGCAAUGUCUGUCGAAUAUCAUAUUCAUCUGUCUCCCGGUUUCUAUACCACAAUCAAUAGAGAUAAGGACAUCUGAAGUCUGAAAGGAGAGUGAGCAGCAGCACCGUGACAGGUACAAUACACAGUAUUUCCUUGAUUGGAUGCUACUGGCAGCUUUAAAACAAUUGCAUCUCGACCAGCAGCUCGUCGGCGAUUAUGGUGUGAAAUUGCAAAGAUGUUUUGCAAUUGUCAUAAGAUACUUCGUCAUUAGAAUGCUUGACAACUGUAGAAUUCAUAAUGGUAUGCAUGCACUUUCCAAAUUAGUGGACGUUGACCAUUGUACAAUUGUAUCUGCUCAACUAAAGGUUACAUAACCAAAUACAACUGUUGCAAAAUGAGCUCCUACAGGUAAACAAAGCAUAUGUGAUAUUUGAUUAGUUGUAUCAAAUACGGCAACGCACUUUAUUUAUUGAAUCGCUUGUGUUUAAUAUUUUCCCUAGACACUUAUUACAUUUAAUGCAUUUGUCUAUUUAAGUACGAAUAUGCAUACAUUCCACUUUACUAAUACAGAACUCAAUUAGAAGUAAAUUUAGUUUUAUAAUAACAGGGGCAGUAACUUGGGACUCUAAUAUCAAAAUCAAAUAUCAAAAAAAAACCAUUAUGUUCCAUGCUGAGAAUUGGCAUACAUCAAUGCAAUGUAGACAUUUUGCUGGAUGUUAAUGUUGGAUAAUACUUUAUGGAUGAGUUAUAUUAUGUGUCCAUGUUAAUAAUGUUAUAGAUCAUACGAUAUGCUGCAACUGAAGAAGACACCCAUGUUUCUAAAUCAUUGCCUUGACUUUCAAUGAGCUUGAAAUGAGAAAUGGACAUUGUCUUAAAUUAAGCAGCAGAAUUUUGAUUACGUUUAUGACUAAAAUCCAUAACUACAUGAAACACCCAAGGGACAACGGCACAGUGGGGAACAGAGUACUUCUACUCGCACCAUUGCUGAACCUCUAGAUUAGUCAAGUAUGUCAUUUAAACUGCUCAGCAAAUAUCACCAACAAAAAUGUACAUUACAGUAUUGGGUGAUUAGUACAAAAACAACAUACCAAUACGUUGUGACCAAUUCCAUUUUAAAGAAAUCUUAAAUUUGUGCUUCCUAAAUGUCGCCUAUAUUUCCUGAAUGUUGUGAUGUGUUGGUUUAUGAAAUGAUAUACUAUAUAAUUAAUGUUGUAAUAUAUGUAUAUACUUGACUUUAGUAUGUACUUAUCAGAUGUUGUAAUAUGUAUGUUUGCAUUGUUUUAAUGUAGUAAUAUACACUUUCUCAAUUCAGUAGCAUGUUACUGACAGUUAGAAUGAUUUGCUGAAUAUUGUAAAAUAUAUACUUGCUUAACACUAACAAAGGCAUUUUCUGGUCAAUGUAAUAUCUAUGUAUGUCUUCGACCAAAUGUUAUACAGGUUUGUUGAUUAUGUACAACAUGUUUACUGAAUUCCAUCAUUAUGUUAUCUAGAUAUUGUAAUA